AGCUGCGGCAAUGUCUUUUAGACAUUGGGUAGGGGAGCGUUCUGUAAGCCGUUGAAGGUGAAUCGUAAGGUUUGCUGGAGGUAUCAGAAGUGCGAAUGCUGACAUGAGUAACGACAAAGGGGGUGAAAAACCUCCUCGCCGGAAGACCAAGGGUUCCUGUCCAACGUUAAUCGGGGCAGGGUGAGUCGACCCCUAAGGUGAGGCCGAAAGGCGUAAUCGAUGGGAAACGGGUUAAUAUUCCCGUACUUCUGACUAUUGCGAUGGGGGGACGG
rnacentral:rRNA from 1 species